AUUGAACGCUGGCGGCAGGCCUAACACAUGCAAGUCGAGCGGAUGAAGGGAGCUUGCUCCUGGAUUCAGCGGCGGACGGGUGAGUAAUGCCUAGGAAUCUGCCUGGUAGUGGGGGAUAACGUCCGGAAACGGGCGCUAAUACCGCAUACGUCCUGAGGGCGUAAGUGGGGGAUCUUCGGACCUCACGCUCUCAGAUGAGCCUAGGUCGGAUUAGCUAGUUGGUGGGGUAAAGGCCUACCAAGGCGACGAUCCGUAACUGGUCUGAGAGGAUGAUCAGUCACACUGGAACUGAGACACGGUCCAGACUCCUACGGGAGGCAGCAGUGGGGAAUAUUGGACAAUGGGCGCAAGCCUGAUCCAGCCAUGCCGCGUGUGUGAAGAAGGUCUUCGGAUUGUAAAGCACUUUUAGUUGGGAAGAAGAGCAGUAAGUUAAUACCUUGCUGUUUUGACGUUACCAAAAGAAUAAGCACCGGCUAACUUCGUG
rnacentral:rRNA from 1 species